rnacentral:rRNA from 1 species
UACAGAGGUCUCAAGCGUUGUUCGGAUUCAUUGGGCGUAAAGGGUGCGUAGGCGGCGCGGUAAGUCGGGUGUGAAAUCUUGGAGCUUAACUCCGAAACUGCAUUCGAUACUGCCGUGCUUGAGGACUGGAGAGGAGACUGGAAUUUACGGUGUAGCGGUGAAAUGCGUAGAUAUCGUAAGGAAGACCAGUGGCGAAGGCGGGUCUCUGGACAGUUCCUGACGCUGAGGCAGCGA